CAAGGCUUGACAUAUACCGGAAAGCAUCAGAGAUGGUGCCCCCCUUGUGGUCGGUAUACAGGUGGUGCAUGGCUGUCGUCAGCUCGUGUCGUGAGAUGUUGGGUUAAGUCCCGCAACGAGCGCAACCCUUGUUCUGUGUUGCCAGCAUGCCCUUCGGGGUGAUGGGGACUCACAGGAGACUGCCGGGGUCAACUCGGAGGAAGGUGGGGACGACGUCAAGUCAUCAUGCCCCUUAUGUCUUGGGCUGCACACGUGCUACAAUGGCCGGUACAAUGAGCUGCGAUGCCGCGAGGCGGAGCGAAUCUCAAAAAGCCGGUCUCAGUUCGGAUUGGGGUCUGCAACUCGACCCCAUGAAGUCGGAGUUGCUAGUAAUCGCAGAUCAGCAUUGCUGCGGUGAAUACGUUCCCGGGCCUUGUACACACCGCCCGUCACGUCACGAAAGUC
rnacentral:rRNA from 1 species